CUUGCUGGUAAUAUAUUGCUGCACUGAGUGUGUGCAAUUUUUAUUCAAGGUCAUCGUGAUGCUGAGAAGUUUCGUUGAUAACCUGUUUAAAAAAAAAAACCAAAAUAAAUAUAAUGCCACAUGCCAAAGACUAAAUUAUCCUAUAUAUCACGGCAAAUAAAAAUCCUGCUAAAUAUAUGUAAUUUAUUGUGCAAAUCAGAAGGUUAUGUUGCUUCUGCAUGAGUGAAAACUAGAAGGGGCAGACACACAAGACCCUCUUCCACUACAGGCAAUAUAAGGAUCCAGUGGAAUGUUGUAACUUACAAAAAGAAAUUUCUUAAAAAACUGUGUUUAUAAAAGAUGGUAUAAUAGUUGUACACAAUACAGCCAAGUUUAAAAGCAAUUAAGACAUAUUAAAAUGUGCAGCAGGUACAUUUUAAAUUUAUGUGCAAGGGAAGAUUUCAUGAUGACUACAAUAAAUUGCAACUAUUUCUUUCCUGGCAUAGGGAGGUAAUAAGAAACUAAAUGAUCGUAUGGCACAUGCUUGUAUUAUAUAGAUGGGUUUAGGAAUCUAUAAAGUAUGGAGGUAGGAAGACACCAUAUGUCCAGGAUCAAAACAUUCCUCAUAUUGAGGUAGUCUAGUGAAGCUGUUUCAUGUAGCUGCUUUAGGAAGUGGUUUAAGGAAGCUUACUCCCACUUCAAAUUAAGCACCAAAGCAAAUCACUAAUUCUGGAGCACAGGAAGACUGCUAUCUCAACUUCACAUCCAGGAGCCAAAUAAUUAGUUGGCUGUGUGUACUGCUGGAAGAAGAAGCCUAUUCUUUUUUUAGUAGGCAUGAAUGAAACCUGAACCUCUCAAAUUAGCCAGCUGUAUCUGAGAUUCAGAUUCACUGAUUUUAAAAUAUAUCAACUCCUGUCUGAGAUUACCCUAUUUUUUCCUUAAAAGAUACCAACCUGUCCAUCUCUAGUUUCAACCGUCUUAAUCAGAAGUGUCCUUUUUGAGUGGGUAUCAACCAGAGGGAGUGAAUCCAGAUUAGUUUCUAAAUAAACAAACAGGCCAAAAAUGAGUAAAAACGAGUUUUUUCUUGGAAAAACCAAGUAACCAUUUUACUGAAACAAUUAUGAUUUGUGGGGGAGAGGCAAUUGUGUAAAGUACUACUCGCCAAAUAAUUUUAGGGUAGUCUCUGUUUGGAAACCCAGGCCCUGACACUCUUGAGCAUCAGGAUGAGAUAGUACUUGCAGCAGGAAGAAGGAAAAAGGAGUUUGCAUUUAACUUAAAGCAUAGAAUGCAAGAGUGUACUUGGGUUCGAAAAUUAUAGAUGUUUUAUAGAGUUUUCUCUUAUAUGGCAUUUUUUCAGAUAUCCUAAAAAAAAUGAAUGCUUUGACAUAAACACAGUGGUUACAAGCAGCUGACGUUUUUCCUAAAGGGAAAUAAAAUGCUUACCCCUCAGGUUCAGGGAGGAAAAGUUUGGAAGAGGCAGAGAAAUCCUAUAAACAGAUGAAGAGAAACAGUAAAAUUGUUGGCAAAUAACUUCAACCACUGGGAACAAAUUAACACACUUUUUGUUUUCGUCACGUAAGAAAACGUACUGUUUUAAAUCAUAAACUAGAGAUUUGUCUCAGAAACAUUUUCCCAUGACUGGUCUUGUUAGUACAUUUAAAAUAUGUUACUACAAGCAUUUUCUCCACAGGAGCAUGAACAGGAGUUAGGAGUGGAGGCUUUGACAGAGUUAUGGGUUCAAAUCCCAGCUCUGCUGUUGAUUAACCCUUUUUCAGCAAGUCACUUACUCUCUCUCAAUUCAAAUUCCUCCUCUACAAAAAGUGGAAAGCAGUUACCUCAAAGAAACUUUCUAAAGAUUAAAUGUGACACUGCUUAGAGCCCAGUGGCACAGGGCCUAACAAAUGGUCACCAUUAGUUCACGCAUCCAAGUCUGAGUUCCCUACCUGCUCUCCUCGCCUUCCAGCAGCUUCCUGUAGGUGGCAAUCUCAAUGUCAAGGGCCAUCUUAACAUUGAGCAGGUCUUGGUAUUCACGAAGGUGACGAGCCAUUUCCUCCUUCAUAUUCUGAAUCUCAUCCUGCAGGUUCUUGGCAGCCACACUUUCAUAUUGCUGACGUACGUCACGCAGGGCAGCCGUGAGGUCAGGCUUGGAAACAUCCACAUCGAUUUGGACAUGCUGUUCCUGAAUCUGAGCCUGCAGCUCCUGGAUUUCCUGCAAAAAGAACAGACAGACGGUCAGCUCUGCCAACCGUGGGGGCUGCCUUACCCUCAUUCAUUCCCCGAAAGUCACUCCACUAACCUCUUCGUGGAGUUUCUUCAAAAAGGCAAUCUCUUCUUGCAAAGAUUCCACUUUGCGUUCAAGGUCAAGACGUGCCAGAGACGCAUUGUCAACAUCCUAU
rnacentral:lncRNA from 1 species